rnacentral:rRNA from 1 species
UACGUAGGGGGCAAGCGUUGUCCGGAUUCAUUGGGCGUAAAGAGCUCGUAGGCGGCUUGGCAAGUCGGGUGUGAAACCUCCAGGCUCAACCUGGAGACGCCACCCGAUACUGCCAUGGCUAGAGUCCGGUAGGGGACCACGGAAUUCCUGGUGUAGCGGUGAAAUGCGCAGAUAUCAGGAGGAACACCGGUGGCGAAAGCGACUUCCUGGACCAGUACCGACGUUCAGGCACGAAAGCGUGGGGAGCAAACAGG